UGGAUGAUGUGGAUUAAUUCGAUGCAACGCGAAAACCUUACCUACCUUGACAUGUCCGGAAUCCCGAAGAGAUUUGGGAGUGCUCGCAAGAGAACCGGAACACAGGUGCUGCAUGGCUGUCGUCAGCUCGUGUCGUGAGAUGUUGGGUUAAGUCCCGCAACGAGCGCAACCCUUGUCAUUAGUUGCCAUCAUUUGGUUGGGCACUCUAAUGAGACUGCCGGUGACAAACCGGAGGAAGGUGGGGAUGACGUCAAGUCCUCAUGGCCCUUAUGGGUAGGGCUUCACACGUCAUACAAUGGUCGGUACAGAGGGUUGCCAACCCGCGAGGGGGAGCUAAUCCCACAAAGCCGAUCGUAGUCCGGAUCGCAGUCUGCAACUCGACUGCGUGAAGUCGGAAUCGCUAGUAAUCGUGGAUCAGCAUGUCACGGUGAAUACGUUCCCGGGUCUU
rnacentral:rRNA from 1 species